rnacentral:lncRNA from 1 species
AUGGCUGAGUGGGAAGAGAGUGUUCAGGUGACCAGGGAUAUGUGUGAGAAGAUGAAGAACCAGGUGACCAGUGUGCAGGUGAAGGAGCAGGUGACAAGUGUGCAGUAUCGAAUUUGUUUAUUCGGUGAUGGACAGACAUCUGUUGUACCAAUCAGUUGGAUUUUUGAUGACCAUGGAACAUUGAAGUGUCGAUGGACAUCAUCACUCUCAAACAUUAAAAACAAUUCUCCACCAAACCCUAACUGGAAGGUUUAUGACAUUGUGAAGAUCGUUGGACCAUCAAUUGAUGAUAAGAACUUGAAGCAGUCAGGAAAUGAAGUGAAGCAAUCUGGUCUGAAGUCAAGAAAUGUCCCAUUGCUCAAACCUCCUAUAUACCAUGAUACUCUUCAGAGAAGUGGGAAAAAAGAUGAGGAUGAUCCCAAGCCCACAGGCUCUGAUGUCUCAGAAUUUCAUGAUCUUCAACAACAUCACAUGACUUAUAAAGAAAUUACAGUGCAAACCAGGAUACCAGAUGAUGUGCAUUUAAAGAAGUCAAGAAAUGCAAUGAAGCGAGUUGGUCUGAAGACAAAGAAUGUUCAGCUGGCCAAAACUCCCAGAUACCAUGUAGUCAAGAGUCCACUUAUUCAGAAAGCUCUGUGCGUCAAAACAUCUGGUGACUGUCUGGAUGAUAACAAUGAAAGCCCUGAUGACAGUUAUUUAAACUCAAGCCAGCCCAACCCAGUAUUCUUAGAUACUCUUCAGGGAAAUGUGGCAAUGCAUGAGGAUGAUCAUCCCAAAAGCUCUGCUUCUUCAGGGAAGGAACCAAAGGAAACAAAAUGCAAAGUCACCAUGGAGAAAUUGUUUGAUCUGAAUACUAAGAUACUCCAACAAAUUCAAAUGCUGGAACAGAGACAAGCUGUCAUCAUGAAUGACUUGGCCAAAGUUAAGUCUGUUCUCAUGAAGCGGGCAGAAGAAGAUGCCCAUGAGGAACAUUUUAAACAACAACAGUGCUCCAGCUUUGAAAUGUUUGAAGCCUUUCUGUCAGAGGCUUGA